UACAGAGGGUGCAAACGUUGCUCGGAAUUACUGGGCGUAAAGCGCGUGUAGGCGGGCUAGUAAGUCGGACGUGAAAUCCCUGGGCUCAACCCAGGAACUGCAUCCGAAACUAUUAGCCUUGAGUGGUGGAGAGGGAAGCAGAAUUCCUGGUGUAGAGGUGAAAUUCGUAGAUAUCAGGAGGAACACCGGUGGCGAAGGCGGCUUCCUGGACACUAACUGACGCUGAGACGCGAAAGCGUGGGGAGCAAACAGG
rnacentral:rRNA from 1 species